UGGCAUUUGAGCCCGAAACCCGCAAACCCGCCCGAAACCCGCACGGAAAAAGCCCGCACGAACCCGUCCAAUUAUUAAUUCGGGCUGAGAAAAGCCCGCACGCCAAAAACCCGUAAAUUAACGGGCCGGGUUGUGCUAAACCCGUUAGGCCCGUUGGAACCCGUUAAGUAAUUUCUGAAAAUUAAAACCCUUUCUACUCUGCUGAAAGAAAGCGAUCCAUGACAGACUCUUUGCCGUGUUCUCUGCCUCUCUCGUAGAGUCCAUGACUGCAUCUCUCUCUUCUUCAUCCAAACCCACAAUUUCAGAGCGAGAGAGAUCUGAGCUGGGAUUGGGUUCUGAAGUGCUUAUUGGGAUUUGGGUGGAAACAAGGUAGUGAAGAUGAGUACAAAUGAUGAGUCCCAAUUUAUAUCUACGGAGGAAAGAGGAGAAGAUGUAACAGGAAAUGUACAAAGAGAUGAUUUGCCUUCUAGAAGAAAGAAGAGGAAGAAGAGUUCUCAAUGUUGGUUGUCUUUUGAGGAAAUUCCUUUGGGUGAGGAUUUGAUUGAGCGUGCUGAAUUGGAGGAUCUUACUGAAGACGUAUUUGAUUUGACAUUGCAAGAUAGAUCCGGAGAAGGAGAUAGCCGCAAUUAAGAUGAUUUUGACGUAUUUUAUUUAGUAAAUUAAAUAUGUAUUUUAUUUAGUACAUUAAAUAUGUAUUUUAUUCAGUACAUUAAAUAUGUAUUUUAUUCAGUACAUUAAAUAUGUAUUUCGAACCUAUUUCAAUCUUUGUAGCUACUAUUAUCAUUGAUGCUAUUUCAUCAAAGAAUGAAUCAAUUUACGGGUUCCAA